GAUGAAGAACGUAGUGAAAUGCGAUAAGUAAUGUGAAUUGCAGAAUUCAGUGAAUCAUCGAAUCUUUGAACGCACAUUGCGCCCACUAGUAUUCUGGUGGGCAUGCCUGUUCGAGCGUCAUUUCAACCCUCAAGCCUUAGUUGCUUGGUGUUGGGAGCUUAUCUUGCCGAAAGGCGGACAACUCCUUAAAACUAUUGGCGGAGUCGCGGUGACCCCAAGCGUAGUAAAUUUUUUUUUUCUCGCUUUAGGUGUUAACGCUGGCUUUCUAGCCGUUAAACCCUCUAAAUUUUUAGUGGUUGACCUCGGAUCAGGUAGGACUACCCGCUGAACUUAAGCAUAUCAAUAAGCGGAGGA
rnacentral:misc_RNA from 1 species